rnacentral:rRNA from 1 species
UACGGAAGGCAGCAGUGGGGAAUAUUGCACAAUGGGCGCAAGCCUGAUGCAGCCAUGCCGCGUGUAUGAAGAAGGCCUUCGGGUUGUAAAGUACUUUCAGUCGUGAGGAAGGUGUUAAGGUUAAUAACCUUAGCAAUUGACGUUAGCGACAGAAGAAGCACCGGCUAACUCCGUGCCAGCAGCCGCGGUAAUACGGAGGGUGCGAGCGUUAAUCGGAAUUACUGGGCGUAAAGGGCACGCAGGCGGUUAAUUAAGUUGGAUGUGAAAUCCCCGGGCUUAACCUGGGAAUGGCAUUCAAGACUGGUUAGCUAGAGUCUUGUAGAGGGGGUAGAAUUCCAUGUGUAGCGGUGAAAUGCGUAGAGAUGUGGAGGAAUACCGGUGGGCGAAGGCGGCCCCUGGGACAAAGGCUGACGCUCAUGUGCGAAAGCGUGGGGAGCGAAAC